AAUUGUAUUGCUCCUUCUACUUUCAACUACUUUCAACUAUCCAAACUUCUGUUUGUACCUGUUCUGAUUAUCUGGUAUCUGACCUUUGACUUGUGCUGCCUGCAGUGGUGUAUUUUGGAUUUGUGCUGCCCUAGGCACGACUAAAUUCGGGCACCCCCAAAAUCUAAAUUUGCCCCCCCAAUUUGUGUCAAGGCCAUUUUUUUGACUGACAGACACAUGCCCUCAUUGAUACAUGCACUGAUAUACACUCACUGACAGAUACACAGUCACUGGCACUCACAUACAGUCAUUGGCACACACUGUUUAACCAACACACACUUUCACUGACAGACACACACUGACACACCCACUCACAGCUAUCCUAACUAUAAGAUAAGGCUAGGGACUAAUGAAAGUAUUUAGAAAAUUGGGCAGACUAGAUGGGCCGAAUGGUUCUUAUCUGCCGUCACAUUCUAUGUUUCUAUGUUUCUCUGUUUCUCAAUGACAGGCACA